UACGGGGGGGGCAAGCGUUGUUCGGAAUUACUGGGCGUAAAGGGCUCGUAGGCGGCCAACUAAGUCAGACGUGAAAUCCCUCGGCUUAACCGGGGAACGGCCUAUGAUACUGGAUGGCUUGAGUUUGGGAGAGGGACGCGGAAUUCCAGGUGUAGCGGUGAAAUGCGUAGAUAUCUGGAGGAACACCGGUGGCGAAGGCGGCGUCCUGGACCAACACUGACACUGAUGAGCGAAAGCCAGGGGAGCAAACGGG
rnacentral:rRNA from 1 species